CCAGUGUCAUUCUGCCCGAGGACCGUGUUGCUGUCCGUGUGGAUGAUCUGGGGAGGCAACGCUGCUGAGGGCCUACAGCGGUACUGGUGUGACCUGAAGCUGCUGCCGCUGACACUCAGCUUCAGACCAGCGCACUACAGCAUUGAACAGCCGAACCUCACGGAUGCCGAGAGUGUCCCGCUCCAGCACUGCCACCAGUGUGUCUGCGGUAGGGAGAGCCUGUGAGCCCUGGUGCCUGUAACCACGUGGGCCUUGUGUAGACCAGCCACGUACAGGAGCCACCUCAUAGCCAGGGCUUGGCAACUGUGGCCCUCUGUCCAUGUUGAUCAAUAAAGUUUUAUUGACACAUG